GUGGCAUGCGCAGAGUGAUCAGUGUGGGUCGGGAGCAGCGGAGAUCAUCGACUGCAUAGAUCCAAUCAGGCCUAUUACCGGGUUCAACAAGAAGCGGCAGCUGGGUUCGCAGUUGGCGACGAGCUUGCCGGUGGCGCUGUCGUAGGUCUCCAUGGUCUCCACCAGGAAGUCUGGCUCGGGGUUUUCGAUGAGCGGGUCAACGCAGCAGGUCGGCUGCCAGAACCACCCUGGCUGGCAGCGAGUCCCCGGCCACUGCAGGAGUCACGAUCCGUUAGACUUCAUUAACAGUUUACCGUACAAGAAAGGCUUUCUGUAAAGCCGAGAGAGAGAGAGAGAGAGAGGAAUAGGUACUAUGAGAGACAGGAUCAUGUAGUCGUAUGAAGCAGCUGCUAGCGCACAAGAGGCGGCGCACAAGAGGAAGCAGAACGUGGGAAGAGCCUUUGAGCCAGCCAUUCUGCAGAGGUGGAGAGGAUGAUCGGGGGAGAGACGCUUCGUGAGGUGAUGAGUCUGAUGGCUCUAUAUAAGCACUACAUUGAAGACACACCCACCUACUGAUAAUUGUUGGACUAAUAAUGCACCGCGAUUGCUGUUAGGGGGGUCUUAAAAUAAUGCACUUCGCAUAAAAUGUCGUACACCAACAUGAAACAUGAGGGACAUUCCCGCAUAUCGCAAGCAUAGUGGGUUGCAAAAUGCAAGGAAAGAAAGUAAGGAAUUUAUUUGAUUAUGGUCUCUCAUAGCUAUAAGAUUAUGGUCUCUCGUAGCUAUAUGGACUAUGUGACAUCGUCAAACCACGAUGUCACCUCCACCCUCCACCCCACCAGCCACUGGACCCUUUCCAUACAUUACAAUCAUUAAUCUUGAUGGAGGUGAACGAGAGAUAAUCAUAAGUAUUUUUCCUCUCUUCUCUUUUGUAUGACUCAUCGUAUUAGAUAUUAUCGUACGCUUCACGCACAUAUUGUUUUACUCACCUGAUCGAGCAACGAUAAUAGUGUGAUAGAAGCGAGCAAGGGAUACUCCUUCGACUAAGGGGCUUGAAAUCUAAGAGAUAGAAAAGGGAUUGAGGAUAAAGACACGAGCAAGAGAUAAUAUAAUUUUAUGACGAAUAAGAGUUAAAGAGUAAGAUGAGAAUGACUAUAUGAUGCGAAUAAAACAAAAAAGUGACAUUAGUAGAAUAAAAAGUAAAAAANNNNNNNNNNNNNNNNNNNNNNNNNNNNNNNNNNNNNNNNNNNNNNNNNNNNNNNNNNNNNNNNNNNNNNNNNNNNNNNNNNNNNNNNNNNNNNNNNNNNCGUGUUAUUAUCUAUCGGCAAACAAUUGACUUGAUAAUUGAUAAGGCAUAUAUUUAGGAUCUCGGCCACGUCGCGAUCCACGCCACGUCACACUCCUGCAGAUUCAACACAAGGGUUGCCUUCCUUCCACGUCGAGUUGGAGCUCGUAUAGGGAGGCACCCUCUCAACAAGUCCCUUCCCAGAAAGCUUGGGACGUUGUCCCAUGGCGUCGUUCCGCGCAUACCGGGUGACGAUUACACGAAGGUACGAUCUUGGGGGUAUCGAUCGUCAAGUCAAAUCCGCGUAUAAUCGAUCCUCGGACAAUAGUAUAAAAUCCCUUGACCGGCAUCUGGCUAGGAGACAAAGAACAGAAGAAAAAAAUCACUGACUUAGUCUACGAUGGGCCAAAGUCGGGAAUCUCCAGACCAGGGCGUGUGUGCAGGAACGUGGCCACCCCCGAACUAGCUCAAUCCCUCAUUGGAGAUGCGACCAUCCUGGCCGUUGAUCCAGACGCGACCAUCCCGACCCCUGAUCCAACUCGGCCUCGAUGCUUCUUCCAAUCGAUCGAGAGGCGCACUCCCGAACGUCGAAAACUCUGGACAUCGACAUGUGAACCAAAACGUGCCGACUCCUCGACCACGGCACGUAAGUUCACCAACAAAAAUAACGACGCAUUGUUGAAACAUUGAUUAUAAUCAAAGAAGAACGUUCUCAAAAUUAUUUUAAAAAAUAUUUUAUUUCUACCUAAUUAGUCAAUUAUUUAAAAUUUUUUUGAUGAUCAAUUCAUUUUCACUAACUCAGUAAAAUAUAAUAUUUGAAGAAAAUUAUACUGAAGAUAGAAUGUAAUAAAUGUAAUUAUAUAUAUAUAAUUAAUAUUUUUAAAAUAUAUUAAAUCGGAUAAUUUUACGGAAUAAGGUUUUGAGUCGUUCGAUGUAUGACUCUGUUAUAUCAAUAUAAGAUGAUAUUUUAGAUAUUAAAAAUAUAUACGAGACAACAUUUUGGUGCAGUUAUAUAUGUUUAAGAAAGACCACUUUUAUUACUGCAGGUGUGAAGAAGAUGCGACUCUACAACUCGGGAGUAAAAGACGAAGCGACAGCUCACAUCACCAUAAGUGCAAGCAUGUGGAUCACGCCAAGCAGAAGAAGACAGGCUUAAAGCAGUUCCUCCAUCACAGUGCCAUCUCGUCGCCGGAGGGCAACUCGAUCACUGUCUUGGAAACGGCGUCGUCUUCACGGCCUUGCAGUGGGUACGACACAGGGGGGAACUUGACCGUGUCGCCGCAGUUACUCUCCCUGCCGUUGGGGCAGCCGAUGAUCGACCUCCCGUCGCUGGAGACGCAGACGCGGAUCUGGUAGAGGUAGUCUUCGUAGAAGAAAGGCCAGAGAAUGUAAUUCCUGGUGCACACCACCGUGAACGAGAACCCGAUCCUGGGCACCAACGCGUCGUUGAUGUCGUCCAGGCUGUAGCUCUUCGUCGCGUGCGGUAUGAUCCCACUCGAGCCCAGGUUGACGAGGGGGUCCACCUUCUUCCUGAGUUGAAGCGCCCGGUCGAAGUAGAGCGACUGGUUGAGGCUGGAGCAAGUGCCGUAGGUGCACCACACGUCCUUCCAGUGGGGCAUCCCGCUGUUGCUGGGACAGGUCAGGUUGGCGUAGUACGUGUACAAGUUGUCGAGCAUGUUCACCAGCUGUCCAAACAAGACAAAGCGGUCAUCAUCGACAUCUCGGCCGAGUUAGCUCGGGUGGAGGAGGCUAACGAGACUCACCGGAAGUAUCUUGAAGACGCAGCUUCUGCUGCAGCCGGUGACCGGUUUACCGGUGGCGCUGUCGUAGGUUUCCAGGGCUUGGACGAGGAAGUCCGCCGCCGGCUCGCCAUUCGUCGGCAUACAGCACUUCCCUGUCGGUUGCGAGCUAGCACAGUAGCUUCCUGGCCACUGCAGUGAGAAGGACAUCAUACCAUCACCCAUCUUGCCAUCGAUGGUUACCACUACUGCAGGAAACCAGAACCAAGUAGAGGGUAACUAUACCAUAAGUUUCAAGAUCAGGUAGUCGGGCUUCGAAGCUGCCCUUGCCGCCGGAGAGGAAGACAAGCAUAACAGCAAGACAAGCAAGCAGAUCCCAGGAAGAGCCUUGAGGAUAGCCAUUCUGCAGGAGCUGUCGAGUUGCCUUGGUGAUGGUGGAUAAUAUAAGCCCAUCGUGGAACACACUGGUUGUGGCCUGGUGGUGGCGGGAUCCAUGGCAGCUCUAUCAAGAAAUGGCUGUCCUCGUCUCAGCCAUCAGCCUCUCCCCACGAGUUUCACGUGGCUUGCAGAUCUCAUCGCUUUCGAGAAAUGGUCGCCGUGCUGUUCACCACCAAUUUAAUGAUGACAUUAAAAUAAUGGCACAGUACAAGAUCAGAUGAUGUUCCAUGUGACUGACUUCUUUUAUUUGGACUCUCUCUCUCUCUCAUGAUUCGGGAACGGACAAGGAGAUGGAAGCAUUGAUUACAGUCGAGCCACCCAAACAACACCCCACUCCUCGCCAUCAAAUGUUCUUAUCUUCACAGACCGAACAUCAUUGAAGGGACUAAUAAGAAGAAGAUGGAUAGCAACCUGAUCGAAACAAGAACAAUGUUGAGAUGGGGAGGGGUUACGAACCGGUUCUGAGAAAGAUUUCUAGAUGUGAUUUCCUCUAAAGAAAUCAUGCAUUAAUUUGUUCUUGACCAAGUACAACAUGACUCGGAGAUUGGUAGACAAGAAAAAUGUAUUCAGAUCGUUCAUAAUUUCAUUUAAGAAAACCGAUCUAGAAGGAUUUUUUUUUGCGACAAUUAGGGAUUGAAAAUAGUCACGAUUAAGCCACUAAGUAGGGGUGAUGGUAAUUUCAGAACGGUCAAUUUUGAUUUCCGAAAUCAGCAACCGAGAAAAUAAAGAGUUAAAAAUAAUUAUAAUGAAUAUCAAAGUCUUUCCUCCAAUUACUAUAUGUUAGGAUAAAAAAUAUCGUUGAUGCGUGUAUUAGCAUGAUGUGAUCCUGAUCCGCAUACGAGGAGUCGAUAGAACAAGAUUUCUUCGAUCUCGUUCAUAUACAAAGACUAAGAUUGAAAGGGAUUUUCCGAGUUGAUUUAUCUAAUGCUUAACUUAGCACUUAGUUGCAUACAAAGACUUAUUUUUUUUUUAAUGAAGAUCCUAUAGAGAAAAAGUUCGAACUCAACUAUCUUUUUUAUUUUUAUGAUAUAUUUUUGUGAAUAUUUUUAUAGGAAAACUAGUUUAUAAUCAACUCAAACUACCUUUUAAUAUUCCUGAAAUAUUCCUACAAAUAUUUUGUAAGAAAGUCUGAAUUGUCUUAUGGGAAUAAUUCACGAUUAGCUAGUUUUUAAUUGAUCUGAAUUAUCUUCAAUUUUUUAUGAAUAUUUAAAUAUUUCAUCGAGGAGGUAGCUUAACAAAUCGGUAAUUGACCCGAGCUAUCUUUUGAGUUCGAAUAGAAAAUAUUGGCUUAAUAUGACAUUGACGUUACGAACGAUGACUAACCAAUUUAAUAUUUUCUUUCGCUAUGUGUAGUCAAACACUAUGUGAGUUGUGUUCAAACCACAAACUCUACGUAGCUAAAGAAAAAAAAAAAGGUAAGAUUAUUUUGUAUGAUCUAUAUUGAUCAAACGAUAAACAAGAAAAAAAUAGAAAAAGGUAAGAUAAGAUUAUUUUUUAUGGUCUCAUCGAAUAAAGUUUAUGUCGUCGAAACAAUUUCUAUGGUUACAAGAAUAGUGGAAGUCUCGUCAAGAGGAAACAAAAGAAUAUGGAAUAUGUGGAUCUCCUUUUUCCACGAAGGAGAGAUGGCAGAAGAAUUUUGUGUUCGAAUCCCAUCAUUUAUUUUGUAUCAAAAAAAGACACUAAUUCAACGAAAAGCUGAACACAAAUGAUGGAGAGAUGGAGUUUAGAUAUCAAACGUAUGGGAAUUUUACCUUCAUUAAGUAAAAUCCCAACUUGUUCAUGACAGGUAAUAUGCUCUGUUGUUAUUUGAUUAAUCUUAGAGACAGAGAUCAUAAAACAACAUCUUAUUCCAGUAGAUCGCAAGACGAUGAUGACAUCCUACACACAGGCAAUUCAUCAUGUUUGAGUGCCAAGAUGAUGAUGAUGACAUCCGCAUGACAAGAGGGCAGUAAUCCGUGGAUCGAUCACUGAGUCAUCGCCUUGUCCGAUGGCAACUUGAUGUGGUCGACCGCCGGAUGGCGCGGGCGCCCGAGCAUGUCGUCCGUGAACGGGUAGAACUUGACCUUGCUGCCGCAGUUGCUCUUCCUGGCGAAGGGACAACCGAUGAGAGACUUGCCGUCGGCGGAGACGCAGAUGCGGACUCUGGAGAGCAGGUAUUCCCGACUCAGCACGCCCAUCUCCGUGGUGCACUCCACCACCGCCGAGAACCCGAUCUUGGGCACCAGCGCGUCCUCGAUGUCCUCCAAACUGUAGCUCUUCGUCUCCGACGGGAUGAUGGCUUGAGAUCAGGAACAGAUCCAUGCGUUAGCUGCAGACACUUGUAAGCUCGAGGUCGGCGUGCAGGGCAGGGCUGCUUACCUUUGGAGCCGAGAGCACGGAGGAUGUCCACUCGAGCCCGGAGCUGAAGCGCCCGGCCGAAGUAAUUCACCUCGCUGAGGCUGGUACAGUUGCCGUAGGUACACCAGGCGGCCUUCCACACCUGCUUCCCGUUCUGGGCUGGGCAGCUCAAGCUGGGCCAGUAGGCGUUCAAGUCGUCCAACAGAUCGACAAGCUGUGGCAUGCGCAGAGUGAUCAGUGUGGGUCGGGAGCAGCGGAGAUCAUCGACUGCAUAGAUCCAAUCUGGCCUAUUACCGGGUUUAUCAAGAAGCGGCAGUUGGGUUCGCACUUGGCGACGAGCUUGCCGGUGGCGCUGUCGUAGGUCUCCAUGGUCUCCACCAGGAAGUCUGGCUCGGGGUUGCCGAUGAGCGGGUCAACGCAGCAGGUCGGCUUCCCGUUCCACCCUGGCUGGCAGCGAGUCCCCGGCCACUGCAGGAGUCACGAUCCAUUAGACUUCAUUAGCAAUUCACAGUAGGACUCAUCGAUUGCACAAGAAGGGCUUUCUGUAAAGCCGAAACAAAAGAGAGAGAGGAAUAGGUACUCUGAGAGACAGGAUCAUGUAGUCGUAUGAAGCAGCUGCUAGCGCACAAGAGGCGGCGCACAAGAGGAAGCAGAACGUGGGAAGAGCCUUUGAGCCGGCCAUUCCGCAGAGGUGGGAAGGAUGAUCGGGGGAGAUGAUGAGUCUGAUGGCUCUAAAUAAGCACGAAGACACACCCACCCACCCACCGAUAAUUGUUGGGCUACAUCGAUAUUGUUCUCGUGAGUAUAAUAUAAUAUAAUAUAAUGCACCUCGAUUGCGGCAUGGGGGUCGUAAAAUAAUGCACUUCGCUUUAAAUUUCGUACACCAACGUGAAACACGUGGGACGUUCCCGCAUCCCGCAAUCGUAGUGGGUUGGAAAGUGCGAGGAAAAAAAGAAGGAUUUUAUUUGAUUAUGGUCUCUCAUAGCAUAUUAUACUCUUCAUCUAAAUUAGGGAUUAAAAGGCUUCGAGACCAAGCAAGUGAAUAAUAAUAAAAUAAUAUAUUAAAAAAUCGAUCAAGAAAAAAUCCGUAAAAUAUUUUAUUCAUCUUUGAACAUGCUUUCGACCAUGCAUUAUUGAAACAUAUUCGUCCAUUUGAAAUAUCAUAUCUUUAAUCGCAUAUUACAUAUCAUAUGAAUUGGAUAUGUGUACUACCAUUAUUUUCCUUAAAUAAUAAUUUAAAUUUAUUAAAUUAAAAUUUAUGCCUGUGGACAUUAUUGUGUGAUCGGAACUGAGAACGAAGACUCGAACAAUGCAAAGGUCCGUAAGGUCUCGCCGAAUCAUCUUCCUUUGUCUUCCCUUUUACGCCAUCGGCGGUACCGAUGCAUUCGAUCCGGAGCUGGGCCUUCUCCGCCCUGAUCCUGGCUGUCACCGUCCUCUUCUUCUUCUUCUUCGACUGGCCGUCUCCUCCUCUUCAAGAAAUAGCCGGAGAUAUUCCUGGAUCCUUGAAUGACAUCGCUGUGACGGUAGGCCAUGGCUUCGAUUUCUUUCUCUCCCCUUCCUCUUCCCUUACCUUCUUUUCCCUUAGGAUAGGACAUAUUUUGGCCUUAUAUGAACCACCGAUAGACGUUGCAGAUCGACACAACACCGUACGCCUCCAAAACCGUGGGGUGCAUGCCACGUCAAGAGCCAACGAUGCAAUUGUGCGGCUUGACCACCUCAAAAGCUGGGGGCGGUGCCGUCUGCUGCUAGGGCAGUGUCGUCUGACGCCCCUCGAGCACCCUCGAAGAUGUCAUCUUGUCAGAGAGGUUGUUCCGCCCCUAGAGUUAACGACCAUAUCGGACCAGGGCCCGACCAAUUACCGCACGCAGGUAUAAAUACCCCCGACCUGAUCCAAAAAAAAGGGAGAAAAGGAUGAGAGAUUUAGAAUGAAUCUAACUUGCUCGUCGGAGGGGCCAAAGUUGGGACUUACCCUACGAGGGUCUUUUUGCAGAGAGGUAGUCGUCGCUGAGACGCGAAUGUCGUCUUCACACGGACGGUGCCCGGUACGCAGAGGAGGGUGGCCCAACGAGUCGGACUCGACAAGUGUCAGCCCGCAUCUCCCAUCUCCAAGAGGCUUCCACACCACAAGGAGGAUCCCCAACCAUCCGAGGGGAUGAGAGGACGCAUCUUCUCAUGAACAAUGCUCAUAUCGGCCAACUUUGGAAAGCCGGCUCACAGCGAGGCUCAGGCCGACCUUGCCACCUCAACCGGCGCUCAACGCGUUUAAGGGGCGCAACCACUCAAACGAUAGUAAUUCCGCCAGAAGUUCCCGACGUCGGCAGGUGGGCCUAGUCAUGCUGACAUAUUAGUCACGACAUGUUUGUUCACUAACAUUUUGGCCCUAGAAGAAGGGCCCAUGUCGCGGGAAUAGCUGGCAAGAACGUGCCCUGGGAGGGAACCCCCGACCGACCUCCCUUUCGCUGAGCCAGAAGGACAACCCCUCUCUACCCCUAUGGACGGAGGGAUACCGAUUUCAACGCUUGAUCGUUACUGGCGCUUGUUCAACGACCCGGGACUAUCCCCCCCGGGGCUCACCCCGGGGGGCCCGGCUGUGAUGCCCGAGGCAUUCCUUAGCCUAACCAAGCAAGUAUAGACCAUGACAGGCAUGAUGCACUCACUCGCCCCGAUCACUCCCCAAAUCGGGCAGCCCUCGAUGCCCUCGACCGAUCCGACCCGGCAACCCCCGAACGGGGAACAGCUCGGGGUUGGGCCAGCCUCGUGGCGAGCAACGGACCCGAGGGGUCCUCCCGUGCAAAAUGCGCCCACAGCUUGCUGAGCCACCCCAUCUCAUCUAGAGCCCGAUACUAUAUCAUCUGACUCGGCGAACGACUCACUCAGAGCUCAGUUGUCCCGGGUCAAUCAGCACCUGGACGAGUUCCAGCGUGAGCUUUGGAGAUUGCGUAGUGAGCCUAGCGAGGGCGCUUUGGUUGGGUCCCUCUUUACCCAAGAAGUACAAGAUAAGCCGGUCCCCCUCAACUUCAGGUUCCCGACAUUAGAAACGUACGAUGGAGGCUCGAUCCCAUGGAGCAUGUCUUUGUAUUCCGGGCCUAGAUGGCCCUCUAUGGUGCCUCCGAUGUGCUGAUGUGCCGAGUGUUUCCGACCACUCUGCGUGGCCCGGCGUGGACAUGGUUCAGCCGGCUGUGUCAAGCUUCAGUCUCGUCCUUCGACCAGGUGGUCGAGGAAUUUGAGCAAAGCUUCCUCACCGGCGCACGGCCCAGGCCCUCCAUGGCCACUUUGCUUGCACUAUCUCAGCACGAGGACGAGUCGCUCUCUCAGUUCGUGGCACGGUUCACACUAAGAUCCGAGGUUUUUCAGAUACUCACCCUUCUCUAAUCUUGCAAGCCUUUAUGAUGGGUCUUAAACCUUUAAGGUUCUUAUGGUCGUUGAUCGAGAAGCCGCCAGCGACCAUCUCUGAGAUGCUUCUACGUGCCAACCAGUACAUUGCCGUCGAGGCUUUAGUGGCGGGGAGGCACGUGGAAGGCAAGAAGCUCAGGAUGGAGCUGUCUCGAGGAACGGCCUCGGCGUUCCCGACGCCUCCCCGCCGGGGGCUCAACCGACAAGAGCUGCUACUCCCAAGACCCCCACCUCUCCCCCUAAACACAUCCCGUUCCGAGAUCUUCCUCUAGAUCAAAGAGACGAGCCUCUUGCAGCAGCCUUGCCCUAUGAAGGCCGCCCACAGAGACCAAUCUAAAUACCGUGGGGAUCCGUCGGCACACCCCGGAGGUGGGGGAGAAGUGAUAGGGCAUAUUUUGGCUCUAGAUGAAUCACCAACAAAUGUCACAAACCAAUAGCCACGAACGCAAUGCCAUGCGCCACCAGAACCACGGGGUGCAUGCCACGUCAAGUUCGGUACUAUGUGAUUGUGCGACUUGACCACCCCAAGAGCUCGGGGCGGUGUCGUCUACUUUUGGGACAGUGCCGUCUGACGCCACUCAAGCACCCCCAAGGAUGCCAUCUCGUCAAAGAAGUUAUCCCACCCCCAUGAAAGUUAGCGGCCACGCCGAACUGAGGCACAACCAACUCUCGCACGCAAGUAUAAAUACCCCCGUCCGAUCCCGAUGAGAGAAGAAAAAAAGGAGGAAGAAAAAACAGGGGAAUCCGAACUAAUCUAACUUGCUUGUCGGUGGGGCCAAAGUCGAGAGACACUCGACGAAGACCGUUUUGCAGGGAGGUGAUCGCCACUGAGCUGCGAGCGUCUCCACCCUGAAGUUGUCACCUAAUGCGCAGAGGAGGGUGGUCCAGUGGUUCGGAUCCCAACCAGCGCCGGCCUGCAUCUCCCAUCUCAAGGGUGUGCCCACGUCGCGGGGAAAGAUUGCCAACUAUCCCGGGGAUGAGAGGACACAUCUCGCCAGAAGCGACGCUCAGGUCGGCUAGCUUUGGAGUGCUAACCCCCAGCCGCUCGCGAGGACCCGACCGACCCUACCGCCUCAACCCUCGCUCGUAACGCUCGAGAGGCGCAACCAUCUCAUCAUCCUACUCAUUCCACUAGAAGUUUCCGACGUCGGUCCGUGGACCAAACUGUGAUGUCUCAUCAGCCAUGGUACUUUUGUUCACUAACAGACAUCAAACAUAUGGGAAUUUUACCUUCAUUAAUUAAAAUCCCAACUUGUUCAUGACCGGUAAUAUGCUAUGUGAUUAUUUGAUUAAUCUUAGAGACAGAGAUCAUAAAACAUCAUCUUAUUCCAGCAUAUGGCAAGACGAUGAUGACAUCCUACACACAGGCAAAUCAUCGUGUUUUAGUGCCAAGAUGAUGAUGAUGAUAUCCGCAUGACAUCGUACACAUAUCGCCUUGUCCGAUGGCAACUUGAUAUGGCCGGCCGCCGGAUGGCGCGGGCGCCCGAGCAUGUCGUCCGUGAACGGGUAGAACUUGACCUUGCUGCCGCAGUUGCUCUUCCUGGCGAAGGGACAACCGAUGAUAGACUUGCCGUCGGCGGAGACGCAGAUGCGGACUCUGGAGAGCAGGUAUUCCCGACUCAGCACGCCCAUCUCCGUGGUGCACUCCACCACCGCCGAGAACCCGAUCUUGGGCACCAGCGCGUCCUCGAUGUCCUCCAAACUGUAGCUCUUCGUCUCCGACGGGAUGAUGGCUUGAGAUCAGGAACCGAUCCAUGCGUUAGCUGCAGACACUUGUAAGCUCGAGGUCGGCAUGCAGGGCAGGGCUGCUUACCUUUGGAGCCGAGGGCAUGGAGGACGUCGGCUCGAGCCCGGAGCUGAAGCGCCCGGCCGAAGUAAUUCACCUCGCUGAGGCUGGUACAGUUGCCGAAGGUACACCAGGCGGCCUUCCACACCUGCUUCCCGUUCUGGGCUGGGCAGCUCAAGCUGGGCCAGUAGGCGUACAAGUCGUCCAACAGAUCGACAAGCUGUGGCAUGAGCAGAGUGAUCAGUGUGGGUCGGGAGCAGCGGAGAUCAUCGACUGCAUACAUCUAAUCUGGCCUAUUACCGGGUUUAUCAAGAAGCGGCAGUUGGGUUCGCACUUGGCGACGAGCUUGCCGGUGGCGCUGUCGUAGGUCUCCAUGGUCUCCACCAGGAAGUCUGGCUCGGGGUUGUCGAUGAGCGGGUCAACGCAGCAGGCCGGCUUCCCGGUCCACCCUGGCUGGCAGCUAGUCCCCGGCCACUGCACGAGUCACGAUCCAUUAGACUUCAUUAGCAGUUCACCGCAGGAGUCAUCGUUUGCACAAGAAAGGCUUUCUGUAAAGCCGAAACAAAAGAGAGAGAGAGAGAGAGAGAG
rnacentral:lncRNA from 1 species